AGGUGUAAGUUUAUAGUAAAUCCGCUUAGCUGAGUGAGUUCGUUCCAGUUAGAUGGGAGCUGAGGCAGUGGUCUCUUCCUUUGCGGCCAACUUCCAGAAGUGGUGUCUCACCGACAAAUCACAUUGAAGACUGAUAUUCAGCACCUUUGAAGAUUAGAUGUCCAAGGGAUUGGAAGCAAAAUGUUUGGUUUUGGAAGUUCUUCUGUUCAUUUUCUGACAAAACUACAUAAAGAAUCCUGAUGAGCCAACCGUUAGUGAGGAAGUCUGGAGAACACCUUCUGGGGACAGUUGUGUUUAGCUCAGUUAUGGUGCUGCAAACUCCCAGCUCCUCAUAUGAAAGGAAAUCCACACCUGCAUGGUAUGGACCACUUCUUUGCAGUGUAAUUAUAUUUGAAGAAAACCAGGAAAAAAUAUAUCAAGAUAUUUUAAAGCUCCUCUAACUGCAGUAUUUGAGCAGCUUGUAAUGUUUUACGUGCUUUUCAUCACAAAACCAAACUAAAACCAAAACACAACAUGAAAUUGGGGAUGGAUUAUUGCUUUUUUUGGUGUGGUUUUGGAAGUGAUACAGUGGAAGACUGACUUAUUAUCCAGAGAAGUUUAUGGGAGAAAAAGCCGUGCUAAGCUGUAGGCUGACACAGCAGCAUUUUUUCUCAUGAAAUCCUUGUCACAGGAAGAAAAAUAUAAGGCUAUUUUUGCAGAGUAAAAAAGGGGUUAGCUGUUAUUCUGAUGUUUCCUUGCUCUCCUUAAAGUUUUACAUGAGAUUCUUUCUGCAGGGAGGAUAAGUUUUGUGUCAUUUUUGCUUUGUAGCAUCAGCAUCGCUUAGCCCGUCCUAAACUGCCAGCUGUCUCUUUUUUAUGUGAAGUACAUAAUGCCUUCCAAGAUUCCAUGAGGUAUGGAAAUUUGAUCAGGGAAUGAAAAAGCACUGGUGAACAGUGGCGAGGUUCUGUGUUUGGGUUUUAUUCCGCCUUUCUAACAAAUUGAGGGGCGACACCUCUUGGUGUCCACUAUUCUUCUGCACUUUUUUUCUUGGAGUCCUUUCUGCUUGCAAACCUACCUGAGGAUGGGUUGGGUUGUAUUCCAAAUUCCUAAAACCGCUAAGUAAAUAUGAAUGAGGAGUGACCUAUUUUUAAAGUAUUAAAUGUGCUAUGGAUAGAAAGGUGACAGCAGCAUCAGGAAUGUUGUCAUUGCAGUGGCUGGAGAGACACGUACUCUCAGUUCUCCCACUGCAACAGAAGUGACAAGAGUCCUGGGUCUCUCUGGAGGAAAAUAUUUGCUUCACUCAGAUAUUUAGUGUUUAUCUGAUCAAUAUUCAUAUAAACAAAACCGAGGAGUUCCUGUCAUUCAGUUCUCAGAGUCUGAUGUUGUUGUUACUGCUUCUAUGUUUGUCAGUUGUUCAGGCAUGAAAAAUCACCAGUUUGUACAGUUGGAAAAAAAACCACACUGUCCCAAACACUUCCCUGUCUUUAUAAAACAUAGAGGAAGACAUAAGGAACUUAUAUAGAGAGUUAUGAAGUUUUACCUACUGAUAGAUCACAUUUAGAAUUGAUUUUUAGCUUGCAUGUUCUCAUCAAAAUAUUGUUUUAAAAAAUUACAUUUUUGGAAGCUUAAAUAACCUACCUAAGACAAAUUCAUUUUCUUGUCUAGGUUUUUCAGCUAAAACCAGUUCUAACUAUCAUCUGCUGGUGGCACCAUUACACCAGAAUAAUUUAAUGUCCAAGUCUUAAGUAGAUGAAAUGCCACAGAUUACACCUUUCAAUCUGAUUUCAUGGAAAAAAAAAAAGUGUAUCUUUUUAAUUAGGAUAUCAGUUAGAUUAUAUAGCUUGUUUUCUGUCUUUCUCAACAACAUAUGUCAUUAAAAUAGGUGAUUGCAGCAAAUUUUGGGCUGAACAUGCCAACAUGGCUCAAACACUUAAUGAGGAAAGGAAGAAUAAACUCUUGUGGAGCUGAAUACAGAUAGAGAUUUUUAUGUGAAAUGCAUGUGAGAUGGCUGAGAUCUGGUAAGGGUUAAUGCCUUGAGAUUCUGGCUGUCCUCUCAGGACAGGACUCAUUCUUUUAGAUGUGGCAGAGUUUCAAGCUUGACCAUGGUCUACACUAGUGAGCUUCAGAGAGCACUGGGUCAGACAAAGAACUGCAGCAUGGUAUCAGAACCAGGACCACAACCACAGCAGCUGGAAAGAUGGACAUGAGCAGCUGGCAAGGCUUUGCCUGUCUCUACCUGUAUGUUAAAAUUGCCCAUCUCACUCCUUCACAAGCUGCUAACUCUGGAAGCACCACUGGCUGCCAUCCCUGAUGCUCUGAGCUGCCCAGCACACCCUCUGGACAGCAGCAGAGCCUGGAGCCCGUUGUCUCGAGCAAAGCCUCUGUGAACGCGGCAUUAGGAUGCCAUGGGGCCUUUGUGGGUGACUUUUAAAGAAAUGAGCUCAAUAAGGAGCCCAACAGUGAUGUAAGAGGGAAGGAAAUAGUCUGGCAGUGUCACCUAGAGUGGGUGAUCCUUUAUGCAAUACUCCAUUUUCUUCCUGCAUCAGAAAUAUUUCUACAUUGACUUUUAUUUCCUUUUUUUUUAAAAUUUCCUUUCAGGAAUCUUGGCUGAACACCACAGAGUGGUAUUUCUCCACACAGGUUUCUUCUAUAACUUCAGUUUUCAGCUUAGUGCUAUGACGAUUGAAAACUUCUAGUAGUUACGUACAUUAAUCUUUCUCCUCCCUGGAAGAUACAACACUUAUAUUUAAAUACAGAACGAAUUCUAUAAUUCUGUUUCUUACAAUGAACUAAUUACUGUAGUCAUCUUCGUAUACUCAAAAAAGGGAGAAUCACAUAACACUUCGGUCCAUUGUGAAUGUCCUUAUCUAUGGCACAUGAUCCCGUGUGUUAGAUGAAACAAGAGAGAAAAUUAUACUCUUUAUAGAUCCUCUUAUAAACCCUGCUAAUUUUCUUUUUCUCCUAAUUUCAACAAACACAACUUCAUCCCAUGUUGCUCUCUGCUUCUCGUGGUUAAUGUUGCUUUAUAUCUGGGCAGAAGUAAUUUGUGCAAGACAUAUUGCUUAUAGGACAGUGCCUAAAAAUAUUUCAAAAGGUCAUUGCACAUCAGACAGAAGGCAGCGCUUGUCCCAGCCACUUGCUGUGAGAACUACAGGUCUUUGUUAAUAUUAAUUGUGCGUGUUUUAAACAGUGCAUGUUUUAAAAAUACACUGAGCAAACACGCAGCGAUGAGCAUUUUGUAAGCCCUGGGACUGGAUAAUGGAGGUCAGUUCUUCACUGGUGAUUUCAGGCAGAAAUGUUUGCUCUUCUUGUUAAUGUCAAGGUUUGUGAAUUAGAGCCAUAUUGUACAAAUGCUUCCAGGAAAGUGGGGUAUAUUUUCACACUCACUAUUUCCAAAAAUACAAGUAAAACAAAAAUAGUAACAAAGAUGUACAAAGUACCAAGAAGGUUCAGAACUAAUCACUUGCACAAACAUUCACGAUGAUUGUGAUUAUAAUAGUAACCAUAUAAACAGAACAUGGGAAAAAAUCUGCUGGGAGAAGGGCAGAUUCCCUACGUGCUCAGAAGGAGCUGAGGUGAACUUGGAGCCUCCAUGGGCUCCUGUUCUUCUGCACCAAGCGAUAGGAUGGGAGGAAAUGACCUCAAGUGGCAGCAGGGAAGGUUCAGAUGGGAUAUUAGGAAACAUUUCUUCAUGGAAAGGGUUGUGAAGCAGCGGAACAGGCUGCCCUGGGAAGCGGCCGAGUCACCCUGGAGGUGUUUAAAAGACGUGGAGACGAGGUUCUUAGGCACAUGGUUUAGUGCCAGAGUUAAGUUAUGCUUGGAUUUGGAGAUCUUAAGGGUCUUUUCAAACCAAAGUGAUUCUAUGAUUCUCUCUUCAGGUAGACAUUAUGUAAGAAUGAUGUUUUUAUUGAAAACAAACAAGAUUCUGAGACUUUUAUAUGUCUCCAGAGAAAAGGCUGCAAUAUUUAAAAGGCUAUAUCAAUGUCAAACAAAGAAAUCCUGACACCUGGACACCAUUCCCUUCAAGGCCAUCUCAUUCGAGCAUGCUUGGUUGGUUUUGUAAUUCAUGCUUAAUAAGAAAACGUUGAAAAGGUCUGAUUCUGGCUUUGCAUCAAAGGCAGUGAAGCUGUACAAGCGCCUCAUCGUUUAUAAUGCGAUGGAGUACUGCAUGGCAAGUUACAACCCAAAUUUAUGUUGCUAUUGAGUAUGGCUUUAUUUAUUUAUUUUUUAACUGGUGCAUAAAGGUGUUUACAAUGGUAAUUAUUCACACGUUUUGAAGAAGAAAAGAAUGCUGAAAGAACGAAAUGUGGUGAAAAUAACAGCAUCAGAAGUCUGGAAGGUGAUGCUGUGUAGGUAAACUUGUUUCAGAAGUUCUUUAAAUGAAAAGUUUAUGAAGAUAAAUAGAAAUUCUCUUUUGGAAGGAAGAUUGAGGUAGAAUGGACAGGGGGGUUGCCAAGAAAAUGGUUUGAAAGGAUGUAAUAUGUACAUGUUGACAUUUCCUGCUUUUACACCAUUAAAAAAACCCCAACAAACUUAUGAAAUAGCCUUGGGUGGAAUAAUUGUGUUUAUUAGUGUGGUAUGAGGACAAGUGUUUGCAGCAGGUCAGAAGGGCUGUCUUGCACUUGUACCUCUCUUUUGUUGUAUUUGGCCAUCUCAUUUCAUCCCUGCCCAACACAUGCUUUUAUUUUGGUUUUGAGAAAGCAACGUGCCAUGACUUGAACAAAAACUGAGCAAGAAUCCCAGUCUCCCUUGUGAGCAUCCCCCAGCAUCCUGUAGCUCUGCAAAUAAUGUUCUGCUGUCUGUCUUUCAAGCAACAUUCGAACAUAUGUUUUAUAUGGAGAUGCUGAUGGACAGCAACAUCUGCUGCUCCCAGCCAGCUCAUACCCUCUUAUUUGGACUGUAAUUACUUCAUCGGCUGCGAUUUGUGUCCUGUGUUUGCCUGCUAUCUGUUUCUGUCAGGUCUUCGUCUUCUACAAACUACCCAUUAUGUAGUGAUAGUAAUUAAAUCUCCCCUCCACCAGGCAGGUCUGAGCAGCGCAAAACAGACCAUCCUUGUCCCUGCAGCUGCCAGAAAAGAUGCAGCUUGUAACAAAGCCUGAAUCACCUGCCCGCUGCACAAUGGCCGAGACCACCUAUUUGUUUCAAACAAGCUAUUUUAGCAGCUGUCAGAUGGAAAUGGCUUUCAGCUGCUGACAACUGUGCCCUAUGCAAACCAGGGGACGUGUCAUGGAAACAUGCAUAAAUAUUCAUGUGGGACUAACAAAACCAAAAGUGCAAGUAUCAGAGCUUCUGCAUGAAUAUAUUGUAGCUGGCCCUGCUGUGCGCGUUUUAGUGCGAUGAAUGCAGGGCGAGUGUUUGGAAGCAACGUUGUCCUUUUUACGUGUGUGAGAAAAAAAUCCACGGAAUGCAGUGGAGUUGCAGGGGUGAGCAAGCAAGAGCAGGAUUUGUGUCCCCGUGUAACGCAGGCAGUUCUAGAUCGGCAUUGCCGUCCAUCGUGGGGAUCACUGACACCUGGUAGUGAGAGAAAGGAGCUGUUGUGUUUAAUUAUUCUGUUUGCAUUUCUCUUUUGAAGCCACAUAUGAGGAAUUGAAAGUUUCUCGCUCAAUCUGUGCUGGGCCCUUAAGGAACGCAAGAACCCAGUGGCUGAGUUCAGUGUUUUAGGUUUUUAAAUUCAUUAACUGAUUUCAAGAACAGGAAAGUAUCUGAUUUUGUCAAGACAUGAUAAUUUCUCACUGUUCUAGCACCCUGAAGCCUCAAAGCUUUUCUAUCAAGAUAGAAACAUUGUGAGUCAGUCUCUUUAGACAGACUGUUUUACAAAUUAAUUCUGGCAGCGUUUCUACAUGGGAUUAUUUUUAAAGUACUUUGUUUGUACCGUGCUUUUACUUUUCUCCACAGAUUCUGGAUAGCCACGCUGAGCGGGGAUCUUCAGAUUAAAGUACAUGAUGGGAUAAUAAAGAUUCUGUAACAACAGAGUGGGAAUGACUGCAUGAGAAUUUUUUCUUGGUUAUGUGCAAACAAGACAGAAUCUACAAAGGCAUCCAGCUGAUUAGGUCCAUGUAAAUCUGAAAAUAAUUAUAAAUAAUUUCUGGUACUUUAAUUCCAUUGCAUGCUUAACCAUAUAGCCUGUAUAUGUAUAUUUUUGUGGUAAAGAGGUCUUGUGAAAAUGGAGUUAACUCAGUGUUUCAGAUAAAGAAAGAUAUUUUACCUAGAAGCUGUUGUCAUAAUAGUUACACAAAAGGAUUCAAAUAUUCUGUAACUUGCUGUGAAUAAAAUAUUAAAAGAUACAGGUGUUGUUCAUGAACCAUCAAAGAGUUUUCCACUGCCAUCGUGUUUUAUUAAAAUGAAAAGAAGAAGAUAAAAGAAAAAAAAGGAACAGAGCCAUGUGCUAAUCCUUUCCUUUGUUGCUUAAGGGAAAUUUCAGUAUAAAGUAGCAAUUUCCAUAUAAUUUGAAUAGCAGUUGCAACCCAUCGAUGUUUAAAGUAAAACGUGCAGGAAAACAGAUGCAAAUGUCUUGUCUGUUUUUAAAUGUAGCUCCCUGCUUGUUGUCUCAAUUAGAUUUAGAGUAGGAAACUCGAUCAGAUAAUUAAAAGCAUAGAAGCUAUUCUUUCGUUUCUUUCAUAGCAAGAGUUUGUUCAAAGCCAAGCUGGAGCGAGCUGGGCCGGCUGCAGUGCGGGCGAGGGUCCCGCAGCAUCCAGCCCUCCCCGCCGGGAUGCAGGAGAUGCUGCUGCCCGGGUGGCUUUGAGGUGGGAAAGGGACCCAUCUCCUACCCCUGGGGACAGGAACAGACUUUUAGUUCUGUUGAUGUCCAGUGGCAUCCCAGUGCAAGUCUCCGCACAUUUUUGUAAACAGGCAAUAACAAAAAUAAAUGGCAUUUAGCAUUUAGAUGCCAGCCCGGUGGUUUUGUUUGUGCAGGGUGCAGUGUGGCAAGUUAAAUAAAAUGCCGCUGAAUUCCCUGAGCUCUACCAUCCCAGGCUUUGGGUGGCUGGAACCGUUCCUCAGAGGACUUUUUAGAUCUAAAAAAACCUUGUAAUGGUAUGAAGAAAGAGUUUACUUUAUCCUUUGCCUUUCCAAAUUAAACAAUUAACACAUGUCGAUGGUGCUUUUCUCUGCCCGGUGUAUCUGAGCUGCUGGCAGAACAACCAGGGCAAGCUAGGGAUUUCCAUCAGAGCGGUUUCUGAGUGAAACUGCCCUUCUUGGAAAGGAAAAACUUCCCAGGAAAAGACUUGGGUUCUGAUCUGAUUAUAAUUAAUCUUCUGAUAGAUAAAUUAAAUUGAGGACAGCUUGGCUAUCCACCUGGGUAAAGGGAUCUUCUCAAUUUCUGCUGGUAAAACCCUCCUGGUGUCUGUGUCCAGGAGCUGUGCUUGUCCUGGGCCAGGGAGGAUGUUGGAGGUGACACAGCUGCCACCUCUCUCAGCUCCUGCUGCCACCGUGCCAGGAAGAUGUGGCUGCAAAGGGGGAGGCCCUGGAGCUGCGCCCUCGUCUCUGAAGUCCCUUCUAUUUCUU